GGUAAUAGUCCUGUAUGUUAAACGAGAAGACUUUAGAUAUGAUCCAGAGUACCACGGGACACGUGAAACCCUGUGGGAAGCAGGAGGGACCACCCUCCAAGGCUAAAUACUACCUAGUGACCGAUAGCGUAUAGUACCGUGAGGGAAAGGUGAAAAGAACCCCGGGAGGGGAGUGAAAUAGAACCUGAAACCCUGCACUUACAAGCUGUGGAAGCACAUUUCUUGUGUGACCGCGUACUUUUUGUAGAACGGGCCAACGAGUUACGUUAAGUAGCAAGGUUAAGCACUUAAGGUGCGGAGCCGUAGCGAAAGCGAGUUUUAACUGAGCGUUCAGUUACUUGACGUAGACCCGAAACCGGGCGACCUACCCAUGAGCAGGAUGAAGCGAAAGUAAAAUUUCGUGGAGGUCCGAACCCACGAGCGUUGAAAAGCUCGGGGAUGACUUGUGGGUAGCGGUGAAAUUCCAAUCGAGCCCGGAGAUAGCUGGUUCUCCCCGAAAUAGCUUUAGGGCUAGCCUCAAGGUGAGAGAUACGGAGGUAGAGCACUGAAUGUCCUAGGGGGUAUUGCACCUACCGAAGACUAUCAAACUCCGAAUGCCGUCAUCUUAUACUUGGGAGUCAGACUGUGGGUGAUAAGAUUCAUAGUCGAAAGGGCAACAGCCCAGAUCGUCAGCUAAGGUCCCUAAAUGUAAGUUAAGUGGUAAAGGAUGUGGGAUUGCACAGACAACCAGGAUGUUGGCUUAGAAGCAGCCACUCAUUCAAAGAGUGCGUAAUAGCUCACUGGUCGAGUGAUCCUGCGCCGAAGAUUUCCGGGGCUAAAACUU
rnacentral:rRNA from 1 species